CCGUGCCCCCACCCCAGCCUCCCGGGAGCUCGGCUCCCUGCUCUGGCGGCUGGGGCUGCCUGGGAGCCCAGAGCCCUGUUUGAUGUCGCCCCCGCCCUCUCAACCCUUCCCGCGUCCCGGAGGCCUGGCACACAUUUCUCAGACACUUCAUUCUUUCCUUCCUCCGAGCUCCCCACUGAGAUAAUGUUGUCAAUGAUUUCACCAGAUCUUGUCCCGGAUGAGAUCCAGUGGUUCCUGACUUUGGGUGACCUUGGGCAAGCCCCUCUCUUUCGUUAUGGAACGCACGCUCAGUGCCAGACUCUGUGUUAAACCCUGGGAUUACCACUAUGAGAGAUACAGUGACAGUCUACAAGAAGUUUACAGUCAGCUGCGGAGGCAGGCAGCCACUGAUUGUCUGAUAGAUGAGGGGACAUUCCUCUAUUUUUCAUUUCUCUUGGGGUUUGGAUGAUGGCCUGACAGAUCAGGAGAACCUAAAUAUAAUAUGAAACCACACCUGUAUGGACAGCAGUAUUGCUGGCCCGUCUGAUUUCAGGAAUGAAUAAGAGGGUUACUGCCCUCAGGAAGCGCACAGCUCAGAGACCCAUAUACUCAAGAGUACAGCUGACAUAUAGGGAUUUCCCAGGCGAUUCCUGCGGGAGAUCUUAGGUUCAAGAGGGAGAGUUACGUGUCUAGAUAGAAGUAAGAUGCUAUCGAGGUUCAGGAGAAUUAAAAGUUGGGGUAUCUUGGAAAACUUCCUGGAGGAGGUGGCCUGUGUACCUUAAAAAUAGGUAGGAUUGGAUGCUGGGAAUGUGCUGAGUUAUGGGGGCUGGAAAGGACAGAAGUACCCAUGGCAUUAAAGGCCAAGACUCUGGAACUUGAGGUCUUUAUUCAGGGGAUGUGGUCUAGAGCCCAGGCUGUGUGAAGAGACUGGAGGAGGAGACUUGAGGCCAUGUCUUGAGCUCCGUAAGCAUCUUGCUAAAAGACUUUGGACCUUAUCUUUAGACAAUGGAAAGCCACAAAAUGUUCUUGAGCAGAGAAGGGACAUCAGGGUUCCCCUUUACAAAGAUGGCUCUGGCAGAAGUGUGGAGAAUGGAUUGCAGGGUUUGGAGGCAGAGAGGCUUAAGGAGGCAGGAGGUUUAAGCUAGUAAAGAAGGUUCCUAGGUGACAGGUGCAGGCUGCCACCCAGAAGCACCUGCCUAGAUCUAGCUCGCUUGGGUGUUGACUGCACAUAGUCCAAUGACCCGAGUUCAGUGGAAGCCUGCCUACCCUUUAACACAAGGGUUCCCCCACCACUCCACUUGGCGUCUAAGGAAUCAUUGUGGCUCUGACCAUAUUAACCUUCUAAGCCUCAUUUCCACCUUCCAGCAGAGCCCUUGAGUCUGCAGCCAAACAUUUACCUCAUUGCAGGCUUGGUUUACUCACUCUUGCCCCUUGGGCUACUCUGGGAUUUUUUUAUGUUUUCUUAACACACUGCAGAGUGGGCCGUGCCCUAUCAUGUUCAGAAGAAAUGAUGAACAAUGCCUCCUUUGUUGACCUGCAACCUGGGCCAAUAGGGUAUCGGAAUGGUUUGUGGGUUUGGUUUAAAGCUACAGAAAGAAAAGAGUGAGAGAAGAAGAAAAAGGUAUUUUGCCUGAGGACUCAAAGCUUUUUUUUUUCCUUUUCCUCCGCUUGACUGACUUUCUCACACUCAGAUUCCCUCCAGCCUGCCAGAGACGUGGUGGCUGCCUUGCCAAGAGCUAUCCUGGGAGGGCUAUUGAAAGAGCCUUGAGUAAGUACACACAGGGUGGAUUUUCUCCUCCCCUCGGUACCUGCCCCGCACCUGUACAGGGAGCAGUCCCACACAUAUCACCUGAUCGCAGCCCUUUCAGAGACCGUGAGAAAAAUAAAGCCCAGGGUAGAAGAGACAUGUUUGUCGUCUCUCCAGGGCUGCUGCCAGCUUCCUGCAGACCAAGUGCCCAGAAACAGCACAUUCCAGGCGGGUCGUGCACACGUUUGCUUGUGCACGUGCCGGGUGGGGGCACCAGGAAGGGAUGGGAAGCUGGAGAUCACCUUUGUACCGACCACCUUGCUGCCUGCUUCCCCUGACAUCUACCUGGCUGGUAGUUUUAUGAUCCUUUACUAGAGUCAUUAUCACAGUCUUUCUAGAUAAGACUCUAUAUACGCUCAGUGCAGAAUUGAUAACCAGGAUUUUUUUUAACUUGUAAAGCCCCUGAAAUGGAAUUUCAAAUUAUGUCUAUAUAUGCACAUUUAGUAGGAGCUUAAUAAAUAUUUUUCAAAUGAA